UACGUAGGCACCAAGCGUUGUCCGGAUUUAUUGGGCGUAAAGAGCUCGUAGGCGGUUCGGUAAGUCGGGUGUGAAAACUCUGGGCUCAACCCAGAGAGGCCACCCGAUACUGCCGUGACUGGAGUGCGGUAGGGGAGUGGGGAAUUCCUGGUGUAGCGGUGAAAUUCGUAGAUAUCGGGAGGAACAUCUGUGGCGAAGGCGCCGACCUGGACGACAACUGACGCUGAGGUGCGAAAGCAUGGGGAGCAAACGGG
rnacentral:rRNA from 1 species